AGAGUUUGAUCAUGGCUCAGGACGAACGCUGGCGGCGUGCCUAAAACAUGCAAGUCGAACGAGGUCCAUCCAGUGGCAACACUGGUGAAGACCUAGUGGCGAACGGGUGAGUAACACGUGAGGAACCUGCCCCGAAGACCGGAAUAACCCUCCGAAAGGAGAGCUAAUACCGGAUAUCCCCUGGAGAUCGCAUGGUCACCAGAGGAAAUGCUUUCGUGCUUCGGGAGGGUCUCGCGGCCUAUCAGCUUGUUGGUGGGGUAACGGCCCACCAAGGCUUCGACGGGUAGCUGGUCUGAGAGGACGACCAGCCACACUGGGACUGAGACACGGCCCAGACUCCUACGGGAGGCAGCAGUUAGGAAUCUUGCGCAAUGGGCGAAAGCCUGACGCAGCAACGCCGCGUGGGGGAUGAAGGCCCUCGGGUUGUAAACCCCUUUCAGUAGGGACGAAAUCAGACGGUACCUACAGAAGAAGCACCGGCCAACUACGUGCCAGCAGCCGCGGUGACACGUAGGGUGCAAGCGUUGUCCGGAUUUAUUGGGCGUAAAGGGCUCGUAGGCGGUUCGACAAGUCGGGUGUGAAACCUCCAGGCUCAACCUGGAGUCGCCACUCGAAACUGUUGUGACUAGAGUCCGGUAGGGGAGCAUGGAAUUCCUGGUGUAGCGGUGGAAUGCGCAGAUAUCAGGAGGAACACCAGUGGCGAAGGCGAUGCUCUGGGCCGGUACUGACGCUGAGGAGCGAAAGCAUGGGGAGCGAACAGGAUUAGAUACCCUGGUAGUCC
rnacentral:rRNA from 1 species